rnacentral:rRNA from 1 species
UACGUAGGGGCCUAGCGUUGUCCGGAUUUACUGGGCGUAAAGGGCGCGUAGGCGGCCACCGCAAGUCGACUGUGAAAUCUCCGGGCUUAACCCGGAAAGGUCAGCCGAUACUGCGGGGCUAGAGUGCAGAAGGGGCAACUGGAAUUCUCGGUGUAGCGGUGAAAUGCGUAGAUAUCGAGAGGAACACCUGCGGCGAAGGCGGGUUGCUGGGCUGACACUGACGCUGAGGCGCGAAAGCUAGGGGAGCGAACGGG